UACAGAGGUCUCAAGCGUUGUUCGGAUUCAUUGGGCGUAAAGGGUGCGUAGGCGGCGCGGUAAGUCGGGUGUGAAAUCUUGGAGCUUAACUCCGAAACUGCAUUCGAUACUGCCGUGCUUUGAGGACUGGAGAGGAGACUGGAAUUUACGGUGUAGCGGUGAAAUGCGUAGAUAUCGUAAGGAAGACCAGUGGCGAAGGCGGGUCUCUGGACAGUUCCUGACGCUGAGACACGAAGGCCAGGGGGAGCAAACGGG
rnacentral:rRNA from 1 species